CUCCAGACUCCUACGGGAGGCAGCAGUGAGGAAUAUUGGUCAAUGGGCGCGAGCCUGAACCAGCCAAGUCGCGUGAGGGAGGACGGCCCUACGGGUUGUAAACCUCUUUUGCCGGGGAGCAACGGGCGUCACGUGUGGCGCCACUGAGAGUACCCGGAGAAAAAGCAUCGGCUAACUCCGUGCCAGCAGCCGCGGUAAUACGGAGGAUGCGAGCGUUAUCCGGAUUUAUUGGGUUUAAAGGGUGCGCAGGCGGUCUGUUAAGUCAGCGGUCAAAGCCCGGGGCUCAACCCCGUCGUGCCGUUGAAACUGGCGUUCUUGAGUGAGCGAGAAGUAUGCGGAAUGCGUGGUGUAGCGGUGAAAUGCAUAGAUAUCACGCAGAACUCCGAUUGCGAAGGCAGCAUACCGGCGCUCAACUGACGCUCAUGCACGAAAGCGUGGGCAUCGAACAGGAUUAGAUACCCGUGUA
rnacentral:rRNA from 1 species